CUCCACAGAAACCUGAUCAGCUGAAGGUCACCAUGGCAACCGCACUGUCACUCAGUGCUUGCCCCGCCUCCCGUCUGCACACACACACACACACACAGCUGCAGAUAUUCCGAUGCUGUCUCUGAUGACAUCGCACAGACAGGUAACUCCCACCUGAUUCUGUCCAACCAGCACGCGAAGCAGGUGACGGAGCAUUUCUAUUGGUCAGUGUGAUCACCUGCACACGACAGCCUGAAACUCUCUGACUGAUUUCUGCUGUCUGACAAACAAAAAAGCAACAAAAGGACCUGAUCUGCAGAGACCUGAGGACAGGGCUGCAAUUCAGAGUCCGGCCUGAUGGUGCCUCACUGCUCUAGACUGUAUAUAAAAGAUGGACACAACCCCUGUGACGUCACAGAGCUGGGAGUGGGCUGGAGCCAAGCUUCUGUCUCACUUUCAUAGCCUCAGAGAUGAAGGUGGGCUUGGGAAAGAUGAAGAUGAUGAAGUAAGAAAGUCAACUUUUAUUUAUACAGCACUUUUUAAGACGAGGACCACAAAGUGCGUCACAGCAAAACAAUAAAUGUAAAAGAUGAGUUUUCAGUCGUUUCUUAAAGAGACCGCCGAGUCCACAGAUCUCAGACUCAGAGCUCCGGAGUCAUCGAGGUAAAAGCUCGGUCUCAGCGUUUAGCCUCGUAUACGAUCAGCAGGACCUCAGGGACCUGAUGGGGACGUAUGGCUGCAAAAGCUCACAGCACCACCAUCAAGAAGUCACACAGAUGUGUCUGAUGGAGGCUGUAACGGGGGUGGGGCUGGGUGGAGCUGCAGGAUCCACCGGUCUCUCUGACAACCACACUGAGACCGCCACGGUCACGGGGGGAAGACGCCGUUUCAUCGCCAAUUAAUUUUUUUUAAAAGUUGCUGUCAUUGGUCGAGCUCGUUAUGAAAAUAAACUUGUGGUUUGAUUGGA